rnacentral:rRNA from 1 species
AGAGUUUGAUCAUGGCUCAGAACGUACGCUGGCGGCACGCCUAACACAUGCAAGUCGAACGAAGUAGCAAUACUUAGUGGCGAACGGGUGAGUAUAAUGUGGGUAUCUGCCUUUUGGUUUGGAAUAACACGGGGAAACCUGUGCUAAUACCGGAUAAGCCUUCACAGGGAAAGCUUUAGCGCCAAAAGAUGAGCCCACACUUGAUUAGCUAGUUGGUAAGGUAAUGGCUUACCAAGGCUACGAUCAAUAGCUGAUCUGAGAGGAUGAUCAGCCACAUUGGGACUGAGACACGGCCCAAACUCCUACGGGAGGCAGCAGUGGGGAAUCUUGCACAAUGGGGGAAACCCUGAUGCAGCGAUGCCGCGUGAGUGAAGAAGGCCUUUGGGUUGUAAAGCUCUUUCGUCGGGGAAGAAAAUGACUGUACCCGAAUAAGAAGGUCCGGCUAACUUCGUGCCAGCAGCCGCGGUAAUACGAAGGGACCUAGCGUAGUUCGGAAUUACUGGGCUUAAAGAGCUCGUAGGUGGUUAGAAAAGUUGGUGGUGAAAUCCCAAGGCUUAACCUUGGAACUGCCAUCAAAACUUUUUAGCUAGAGUAUGAUAGAGGAAAGUGGAAUUUCUAGUGUAGAGGUGAAAUUCGUAGAUAUUAGAAAGAACACCAAUUGCGAAGGCAACUUUCUGGAUCAUUACUGACACUGAGGAGCGAAAGCAUGGGUAGCGAAGAGGAUUAGAUACCCUCGUAGUCCAUGCCGUAAACGAUGUGUGCUAGACGUUGGAAAUUUAUUUUUCAGUGUCGCAGCAAAAGCGUUAAGCACACCGCCUGGGGAGUACGACCGCAAGGUUAAAACUCAAAUGAAUUGACGGGGACCCGCACAAGCAGUGGAGCAUGUGGUUUAAUUCGAAGAUACGCGCAGAACCUUACCAACACUUGACAUGUUCGUCGCGAACCUAAGAGAUUAGGUUCUUCAGUUUGGCUGGACGAAACACAGGUGCUGCAUGGCUGUCGUCAGCUCGUGUCGUGAGAUGUUGGGUUAAGUC